rnacentral:precursor_RNA from 12 species
CAGCCCUCGUCAAGGGUUUUAAAAAGACCAUGGACUUCAUCCUCAGGGAUUCGUUGUUCUGCUGUAGAACUCUAGAAGAUGAAGGCCAUGGCCCAUUGAUAGCGCUCGAGGAACGAAUUU